CUUCUAUAAAAGCCUCCACUCUUCUGGGAAGGCUUUCCACUAUAUGUUGGAACAUUGCUGCAGGGACUUGUUUCCAUUCAGCCACAAGAGCAUUAGUGAGGUCAGCGCACUGAUGUUGAGCAAUUAGGCCUGGCUCGCAGUUGGCAUUCCAAUUCAUCCCAAAGGUGCUCGAUGAGGUCAGGACUCUGUUCAGACUUUGCCGUAAAGGUCCAUCAUUAAUUGACCACUGAAUCACUGUCGCCUCCCGAAGUUCUUAAUUUGACACCAAUAUGGACUCAACAAACUCUCAAACAGCUUCCCGCCUUCUCACAGCAACCCUGUGGAAAACAUCUGUCGGAGCCUAUGACCUUAUGGUGGAGGCAUAGUCACUAACUAACGUAUGCAAGGGAGGGAUAAUAAAGAUGUCAGCGGUUCUCCGAGCUACGAUAUCACUUAAACAUUACUUUGAAGCCACUCAUUUAACAAUUACUCCAAUGUCUCUUUUUAAACAACAGGCUUUUUAAGGGGCUGAUACCAGAGGUGCGUGAGAUCUAAAGCAAUAAAGAAAGCUUAUGGAUGACAAGGUAAUGUACAGGUGCAAGAGAGUAGACAGUAUUAUCUUGGAAGUCUUGGAAAACUCCCCUGUCCCAGACUUUGAGAAGCAUUAGUUAGAUGUUCUUACACUGGUGGUGAAUGGAAUGCACAACAGAAAUGUAAAUACUUGGAAAACAAGAGAGACUGGAGACGGAGACUGGAGACGAUGAGACUGGAGAUGGAGGGACUGGAGACGGAGGGACUGGAGACGGGGAGAGACUGGAGACGGAGGGACUGGAGACGGAGAGACUGGAGACGGAGGGACUGGAGACGGAUGGACUGGAGACGGAGAGACUGGAGAUGGAGAGACUGGAGACAGGGAGAGACUGGAGACGGAGAGACUGGAGACGGAGGGACUGGAGACGGAGGGACUGGAGACGGAGGGACUGGAGACGGAGGGACUGGAGACGGGGAGAGACUGGAGACGGAGAGACUGGAGACGGAGAGACUGGAGACGGAGAGACUGGAGACGGAGAGACUGGAGACGGAGAGACUGGAGACGGAGAGACUGGAGACAGAGUUACUACUACGAGAUGUGACAGGCUUCCCUAUAGAGUUUAUGGUUAUUCUCUUUACACACACACACACACACACACACACACACACACACACACACACACACACACACACACACACACACACACACA
rnacentral:lncRNA from 1 species